AUGGAGCUGUCCCUCAUAUACGACGUCAUGCACACCAAGGCGGCCAUCACACACAGCUGGCCGGGUUACUGCAUCCGCGUCAUCUCGCCGCUCUUCACCGCCGCCACAUUGCUGCUCUUCCGGUCCCACAGCAAAGUCGGUGAGAGUGGUGCAGAUGUCAUGGUGACAUACGCCUUGCUCCUUGUGACACUCGUCCUUGAUGUCGGGUGGCUAUUCGGAACGCUAGGGUCCACAUGGACAUGUGCAUUCCUGAGGCAUAGGUCGCAUGGGCUAGUUUCACAAAAAGAAGAAGAAGAAGAAGAAGAAGAAGAAGAAGAAGAGACCGCCAAAGCUUCGCCGCUCCAACCUAAAAAAAAAUUAUUGAUCGGUGCCCUAAGGAGACAGGGGGAGUUGGGCAAAGUUCUUGGUAUCGGCCCUGAGUUUCCAGAGUUGGUCCUUGGGUGGCACGUGGCAACCGAAAUCUCCCUCCUGUGCAGGACGAGGGCCUGUCGAACUAUAUAUAUGAUGUUCCUCGUCGCUGUACGCCCCGGCAUGCUACCGGGCCUCAACCUCCGCAGCAUGCUCGACGGCACGCGGGACGCAUUGGACCGUGCUGCGGCUGAGGAUCCUCAAGCCAAGGAAGUGGAAGCGACUAAGAGUGGAAACCGUGCCCGCGACUCGAAUACCAUUCUCUCGGAAGGAGCGUUCUACGCCGAGGUAAUGCUCUUCCGGAUGGGGGCAUAUUGCUCCUGGGUUUGGCCCCACGGCAAGUGGUCCAAGGAUCACAGGGAUAGAUGGACGUGGCAUAUUGAUAGUUUAAGCAUUAUGGAGAGCCUGGACCUGGACCUCAGCUUACUGAGAAAUAGUUUGGUCUCAGUCACGCGCGCUGCAAAAACAGAGAUGCAGGACCAUGCAUGCGUCCUUUGCAUGUGCAUGGUGGGACCCAAGAUUGGAAAAUACGAACUCCAAAUAAACACAAUACUGCAAAGGUUUUCCAAAUACUCUAUGCCGUGGCGCAUUAUGAUUGGGCGUAGUCCGCCGGUACCUCCUGACACCGGUAAAAAGAGGUUUGCGAGCACGUCCCAGUGCCAAGUCAGCAAAAAAAUUGUUCAGGAUUUUCUCGAACUGACCGAACGACCACGUCUCCUCCCCUUCCCUUAUCCAUUGAGCCACACACACAGGCCACUCACACCCCAGUGGCAAGGCGGAGGGAGCGGCACCUCCGGUGAUUCCCAACGGGCAUUGCAGGGGAAGAGCGGCGAUCCCCAGCGUGCACAGCCGGGGACAGGGGCGAUUCAGGUGGUUCCGGCGCAGAACGGAGGCGGAGGCCCAGCGACGAGCUUCCUGGGACAGCGCCAUGGACGCAUCCGCGAUUGGGCGACACGAUGGUCUCCUCCCCGGCAGUGUCCUCUCGUCGGCGAAGAGAGACUCGCCCUCCACGGGCUCUCGCCGCAGUGUGAGGAGUCGCUGAGGGAGGGGGCGGUGCCGUCUUCAGGUGAGGCGGGGCGCGCCUAUGGCGCCGCCCACGAGCCGGAGGCCCUCCUCAAUUUGCGCAUGCUCGGUUGCUCUUCCACGCCGACGACGAGGAGGCCCUCUUGCUCUUCCGAGAUGACGACGGGGACCGAUGAGGCUCAAGGCGGAGGCGGCUGUGGACCACUGGUCGUUGACGACGGGGCCGUGCUCCGCCUGCUCAAGGCUCACGCAUACAAUAUACACCAUGGAGCUGAAUUCAAGAUAUGUCAUGGCAGUUUCAACCCCACAGUUACCUGCCCCGUCGAGGAGCGCCGCCCCUAUGAGGAUAUCCCCCGGUUUGAGUGUGACGGCCUCGACAGCCUCCCGAUCGCCCCACCCCCUGCGUUGGAUUCUGAUUUCCUUGUCAGUGUGAUGAUGCUUGCGAUUUGCAAGGGCAUCGGAGCUCUGUGGGUUACUCGACGAAGGCAAAUCAGGUGA
rnacentral:rRNA from 1 species